CUGGUGAGUAACGCGUGAGGAACCUGCCUUCCAGAGGGGGACAACAGUUGGAAACGACUGCUAAUACCGCAUGACAUAUCGAAACCGCAUGGUUUUGAUAUCAAAGAUUUAUCGCUGGAAGAUGGCCUCGCGUCUGAUUAGCUAGUAGGCGGGGUAACGGCCCACCUAGGCGACGAUCAGUAGCCGGACUGAGAGGUUGACCGGCCACAUUGGGACUGAGAUACGGCCCAGACUCCUACGGGAGGCAGCAG
rnacentral:rRNA from 1 species